rnacentral:misc_RNA from 1 species
AAGUCGUAACAAGGUUUCCGUAGGUGAACCUGCGGAAGGAUCAUUAACACGUAUCCAACGUUAAACCCCCCUGUGAACCUUCAUUGUGCUCCCACGCUUUGUUAGAAAGUGGCAAUCCCUGGUAAAUCAUCGCCGAACAGUUUUGAUUCAGGGGCAUUCCUCGGCGGAAAGUGUCACUAACUCUGUACGAAUGGCGCAGUCACGUUCGCUGGAGGCCGACACUGCUCCCUUAAUAACCUUUGCAUGAAAACGGGCCUGCGCUUAAUUGUGCGCCACCAAACUCGAACAACUGUUAACAAUGGAUAUCUUGGUUCUC